rnacentral:tRNA from 5 species
GGGCAGGUGUCAGAGUGGUCGAAUGAGCACGCUUGGAAAGCGUGUGUGCUAGCAAUAGUACCGAGGGUUCGAAUCCCUCCCUGUCCG